rnacentral:rRNA from 1 species
AUGGAUCUCCACAUGAAGCUUCUGCUGGCCUCCCUCAGCUGUGUACUUCUAAUACAAGGAGCAUUCUGUGAUAACACUGCAGGGGGGACUGGAGCCACAAGCUGGACAUGUGUGUGCGCUGCUCAUCCGCUUGGUGAAUCUAACUCCAAUAGCAGCCUGUCAUCCAGCUGCGACUCCUCGUGCCAUUGCCUACGAGAUGAAAACGGCGGCACAGGGUCAUGGAACUGCUCGUGCCGCUCCGACAAGGACCUUCAGGAAGAAGAACAUGCUGUGGUGCACAGCGGGAGCUGCUUCACUUCCUGUAACUGCACAUCUGGAAGUUCUGAACAAGGGAGGAAGCAUUUCUCUAGUAAAACAGUCAUCGCAACACUCCUGGUAUGUGUGGUUCUCACCACUGUUGCUUUCGUCGGCACAACGGCGUACUACUUUCGACGCAAGGACGCGCUCUCCCCGCGUUCUCGGAUGCACUCUUUCGACAAGUAUGCCAGCUGGAGCAGUAGAUCGAACCUCGUCAGCCACCGGUCUUCUCCCCUUACCCAACUGAAACCCAAACCGGGGCUCAGUGUCAUCAAAGGGUUUUUGUGUAGCUGCCCGCUUGUCUCCCGGAGCGAAGACGGCCCAUUCCCCGGCGUGGUUCUCCGGUUCUCCUACGCGGAGUUGGAGCAGGCAACCGGGAAAUUCUCCGACGAACAGCUCAUUGGCGUCGGCGGGACAAGCAAAGUGUACCGUGGACAGCUCGCCGACGGCAAAGUCGUCGCCGUGAAGAAGCUUCGGCCCCUCGGAGGCGCAGACGAAGACUAUGAGUUCCUGUCAGAGAUCGAGCUGCUGUCGCGGCUGAACCACUGCCACGUGGUGCCGCUGCUGGGGUACUGCUCGGAGCGGCAGGGGCGGCAGCUGGAGCGGCUGCUGGUGUUCGAGUGCAUGACCAACGGCAACCUGCGGGAGUGCCUGGACGACCUCAACAGGAAGCCCAUGGACUGGGCGACGCGCGUCGGCGUGGCGCUGGGCGCGGCGAGGGGCCUCGAGUACCUCCACGAGGCGGCGGCGCCUCGCAUCCUCCACCGGGACAUCAAGUCAACCAACAUCCUGCUCGACGACAGGUUCAGGGCCCGUAUCACGGACCUGGGCAUGGCCAAGUGCCUCAUGAACGACGGCGUGACGAGCUGCUCCAGCUCGCCGGCGCGCAUGCUGGGCACCUUCGGGUACUUCGCCCCGGAGUACGCCAUCGUCGGCAAGGCGUCGCUCAAGUCGGACGUGUUCAGCUUCGGCGUGGUGGUGCUGGAGCUCAUCACCGGCCGGCAGCCCGUGCACAAGAGGGGCGGCGCCGGCGCCACUGGCGGCGCGGACGAGAGCCUGGUGAUGUGGGCGACGUCGCGGCUCCGGGACAGCAGGCUGGUGGUGGCGGAGCUGCCGGACCCGGCGCUGAAGGGCGCGUUCCCGCCCGAGGAGAUGCAGAUCAUGGCGCACCUCGCCAGGGAGUGCCUGCAGUGGGACCCCGAGGCCAGACCCACCAUGACCGAGGUCGUCCAGAUCCUCUCCACCAUCGCGCCCCUCGCCGACAAGCGCCGCCGGCACCACCUGCCCGCCGCCGCCGGUGCCUUCGCCCCGGGCUUCCGUGCCGAGAGGCCGCAGGAAUGCUCGAUGUGGCAGGACGGUGAUGCCGACCGUCGCCGCGAUCACAUGCACGGAGGGAACGGCAGCAACGCCAAGGGCGCCGUCGUGUCCGGAGAGGUCGCGAUCAACGUCGGCACGCCGGUGACGAUGGGCCGGAGCUGGCGGUCGGCAGAGCAGGAGGAGGUGGACCUGACGGAGCCGCGGCUGGAGACGUUCACGCAGCCCACGACGGCGACGAGCCUCUACAGGUGA